GACAGAGGUUGCAAACGUUGUUCGGAAUUACUGGGCAUAAAGCGCACGUAGGUGGUCCGCUAAGUCGAUUGUGAAAUUCCCCGGCUCAACCGGGGAACGGCACUCGAUACUGGCGGGCUUGAGGUCUGGAGGGGUGAGUGGAACUCCUGGUGGAGCGGUGAAAUGCGUAGAUAUCGGGAGGAACAUCAGUGGCGAAGGCGGCUGUCUGGCCCAAUACUGACACUCAGGUGCGACAGCGUGGGGAGCAAACAGG
rnacentral:rRNA from 1 species